CUAGAGAUAGGCUUUUCCUUCGGGACACCGGUGACAGGUGGUGCAUGGUUGUCGUCAGCUCGUGUCGUGAGAUGUUGGGUUAAGUCCCGCAACGAGCGCAACCCCUAUUGUUAGUUGCUACGCAAGAGCACUCUAGCGAGACUGCCGUUGACAAAACGGAGGAAGGUGGGACGACGUCAAAUCAUCAUGCCCCUUAUGUCCUGGGCCACACACGUACUACAAUGGUGGUUAACAGAGGGAAGCGUCGACGCGGCCG
rnacentral:rRNA from 1 species